AGUGAACGCUGGCGGUAGGCCUAACACAUGCAAGUCGAACGGCAGCACAGUAAGAGCUUGCUCUUACGGGUGGCGAGUGGCGGACGGGUGAGGAAUACAUCGGAAUCUACUUUUUCGUGGGGGAUAACGUAGGGAAACUUACGCUAAUACCGCAUACGACCUACGGGUGAAAGAAGGGGAUCUUCGGACCUUGCGCGAUUGAAUGAGCCGAUGUCGGAUUAGCUAGUUGGCGGGGUAAAGGCCCACCAAGGCGACGAUCCGUAGCUGGUCUGAGAGGAUGAUCAGCCACACUGGAACUGAGACACGGUCCAGACUCCUACGGGAGGCAGCAGUGGGGAAUAUUGGACAAUGGGCGCAAGCCUGAUCCAGCCAUACCGCGUGGGUGAAGAAGGCCUUCGGGUUGUAAAGCCCUUUUGUUGGGAAAGAAAAGCAGCAGGUUAAUACCCCACUGUUCUGACGGUACCCAAAGAAUAAGCACCGGCUAACUUCGUG
rnacentral:rRNA from 1 species